rnacentral:rRNA from 1 species
GACGAACGCUGGCGGCGUGCUUAACACAUGCAAGUCGAACGGAAAGGCCCUGCUUUUGUGGGGUGCUCGAGUGGCGAACGGGUGAGUAACACGUGAGUAACCUGCCCUUGUCUUUGGGAUAACUUCAGGAAACUGGGGCUAAUACCGGAUAGGAGCUCCUGCUGCACGGUGGGGGUUGGAAAGUUUCGGCGGUUGGGGAUGGACUGGCGGCUUAUCAGCUUGUUGGUGAGGUAGUGGCUUACCAAGGUUUUGACGGGUAGCCGGCCUGAGAGGGUAACCGGCCACAUUAGGACUGAGAUACGGCCCAGACUCCUACGGGAGGCAGCAGUGGGGAAUAUUGCGCAAUGGGCGGAAGCCUGAUGCAGCAACGCCGCGUGCGGGAUGACGGCCUUCGGGUUGUAAACCGCUUUCGCCUGUGACGAAGCGUGAGUGACGGUAAUGGGUAAAGAAGCACCGGCUAACUACGUG